rnacentral:rRNA from 1 species
AACGAACGCUGGCGGCAGGCUUAACACAUGCAAGUCGAACGGUUGUAGCAAUACAGCAGUGGCGCACGGGUGAGUAAUACUUGGGAACGUGACUUUCAGUCUGGGAUAACCACGGGAAACUGUGGCUAACACCAGAUACCCCCUCCGGGGGAAAGUUUACGCUGAAAGAUCGGCCCAAGCCAGAUUAGGUAGUUGGUGAGGUAAUGGCUCACCAAGCCUACGAUCUGUAGCUGGUCUGAGAGGACGGCCAGCCACACUGGAACUGAGACCCGGUCCAGACUCCUACGGGAGGCAGCAGUGGGGAAUAUUGGACAAUGGGGGAAACCCUGAUCCAGCCAUGCCGCGUGAAUGAUGAAGGCCUUAGGGUUGUAAAGUUCUUUUGUCAGGGAAGAUGAUGACGGUACCUGAAGAAUAAGCACCGGCUAACUUCGUGCCAGCCGCCGCAGUAA